rnacentral:rRNA from 1 species
CAAGCCCUACGGGGCGCAGCAGUGAGGAAUAUUGGUCAAUGGUCGGGAGACUGAACCAGCCAAGCCGCGUGAGGGAUGAAGGUACAGAGUAUCGUAAACCUCUUUUGUCAGGGAACAAAGGCGGGGACGUGUCCCCGGAUGAGUGUACCUGAAGAAAAAGCAUCGGCUAACUCCGUGCCAGCAGCCGCGGUAAUACGGAGGAUGCGAGCGUUAUCCGGAUUUAUUGGGUUUAAAGGGUGCGCAGGCGGCCUGUUAAGUCAGCGGUAAAAGCCCGGGGCUCAACCCCGGCGAGCCGUUGAAACUGG